rnacentral:rRNA from 1 species
AGAGAGAGACAUGCGCGCAUAUCAAUAAGCGGAGGAAAAGAAACUAACAAGGAUUCCCCUAGUAACGGCGAGUGAAGCGGGAAGAGCUCAAAUUUGAAAUCUUAAAGGGUUUCCCUUUACGAAUUGUAGUUUAAAGAAGUGUUUUCUGUUGAGGUUUUGGUAAAAGUUCUUUGGAAUAGGACAUCAUAGAGGGUGAGAAUCCCGUAUUUGACCUUUACUUUCAACUUUGUGAUACACUUUCAAAGAGUCGGAUUGUUUGGGAAUGCAGUCCAAAAUGGGUGGUAAAUUUCAUCUAAAGCUAAAUAUUGGCGAGAGACCGAUAGCGAACAAGUACCGUGAGGGAAAGAUGAAAAGAACUUUGAAAAGAGAGUUAAACAGUACGUGAAAUUGUCAAAAGGGAAGCGUUUGACACCAGUGUUGUUUUUCUGAAAAUCAAUUAAAGAACUGUUUAUGCUAAGUUGUUUAGACUUUAUCAGCCUAUCUGUUUAGUUUUGAGCUUUUCUUUAAUGCACUUUUCAGUUAACAAGUCAACAUCAAUUUCUUUUGCUGUAAAAAAGCUUGAGGAAGGUGGCUUGAGAUUCGUCUUAAGUGUUUAUAGCCUCUUGCCUAUGCAGUCGGAGAGAUUGAGGUCUGCAGCGUAGAUCCUUCGGGGCUAAAUGCAUUUGUGCUAAGUUAUAGCAUUUUAUAGACAACUUGUUGACUAUGAUUUGUCUUGUAGCUUACUCGCUUAUGUUAUUUUACCUACGCUUAGGAUGUUGACGCAUGAGAUAUACGC